UUUUUUGAGAGUUUGAUCCUGGCUCAGGACAAACGCUGGCGGUAUGCCUAACACAUGCAAGUCGAACGGCUGUGCGUAGCACAGAAAUCCGAAAUUCGAAAUCCUAAAUCCUAAACAAAUUCAAAAUUCAAAAUCUUAAAUAAUAAACAAAUAUUGUUUUGGGCAUUAUUAUUUUUGAGAAUUAGAUAUUGUUUCGAAUUUAGUGCUUAGAAUUUAGAGUUUCCGUGCUAUGCACGGUAGUGGCAAACGGGUGAGUAACACGUAGAAACAUACCCUUAUCUCGGACAUAGCCCACCGAAAGGUGGAUUAAUUUCCGAUAGUCUCCGAUGUAAUAUUCGGAUUAAAGAAUUUCGGAUAAGGAAUGGUCUGCGUCCUAUCAGCUAGUUGGUGAGGUAAUGGCUCACCAAGGCGACGACGGGUAGCUGGUCUGAGAGGAUGAUCAGCCACAAUGGAACUGCGACACGGUCCAUACUCCUACGGGAGGCAGCAGUGGGGAAUUUUGCGCAAUGGGCGAAAGCCUGACGCAGCAAUACCGCAUGAAGGAUCGAAGGUCUUCGGAUCGUAAACUUCUUUUAUAAGUGAAGAUUAUGACAGUAACUUAUGAAUAAGGACCUGCUAACUUCGUGCCAGCAGCAGCGGUAAUACGAAGGGUCCAAGCGUUGUCCGGAUUUAUUGGGCGUAAAGCGUCCGCAGGUGGUUUGGUAAGUUUUAUGAUAAAGACCUUUGCUCAACAAAGGUAACUUGUAAAAUACUGCCUUACUUGAGGAAAGCAGGGGCAAAUGGAACUCCCGGUGUAGCAGUGAAAUGCGUUGAUAUCGGGAGGAACACCAAAGGCGAAGGCAAUUUGCUAGGCUUUUCCUGACACUCAUGGACGAAAGCGUGGGGAGCGAACGGGAUUAGAUACCCCGGUAGUCCACGCCGUAAACAAUGCACACUAGCUCUCGGUCGCAUCGACCCGACCUGGAGCGAAGUUAACACGUUAAGUGUGCCGCCUGGGGAGUACGACCGCAAGGUUAAAACUCAAAGGAAUAGACGGGGGCUCGCACAAGCGGUGGAACAUGAGGUUUAAUUCGACAGUAAGCGAGUAACCUUACCAGGGAUUGACAUCUUUGGAACCCCGACGAAAGUUGGGGGUGCCCGCAAGGGAACUGAAUGACAGGUGAUGCACGGUUGUCGUCAGCUCGUGCCGUGAGGUGUUAGCUUAAGUGCUUGAACGAGCGCAACCCCUAUUGUGUGUUAAAUUUGUCACACAAGACUGCCUGCGUAAGUGGGAGGAAGGUGGGGAUGACGUCAAAUCAGCGUGUCCCUUACACCCUGGGCGACACUCAUGUUACAAUGGCAACUACAAUGGGUCGCAAAAUCGUGAGAUUGAGCCAAUCCCCAAAAGUUGUCUUAGUUCGGAUUGCAGGCUGAAACUCGCCUGCAUGAAGCUGGAAUCGCUAGUAACCCCGAAUCAGCCACGUCGGGGUGAAUACGUUCUCGAGCCUUGUACUCACCGCCCGUCAAGUGAGCCGAGUCGGUAAGACCUGAAACCCCCGCUUAGCGGGGACUAUGGUCGGAUCGGUAAGGAGCGCUAAGUCGUAACAAGGUAUCCGUAGGGGAAUCUGCGGAUGGAUCACCUCCUUU
rfam:Berkelbacteria bacterium GW2011_GWA2_35_9 TR93_C0024, whole genome shotgun sequence.